rnacentral:rRNA from 1 species
AGAUUAAAUAGCCGCAAUUGCGUGCUAAGGUAGCAUAAUCAUAUUGUCUUUUAAAUAAGGACUAGAACAAAAGAUUUUACAUUUCAACUUUUUUAUUUGAAUUAAAAUUUAAAUUUAUUUUAAAUGUAAAAAGACAUUUCUAAAAAAGAAAGACGACAAGACCCUAUCGAACUUUACUUCAGUUUAACUGGGGCAGUUAAUUAAUUAUUAUUUUAAUAUAGAUAAUUAUAUACAAAUCCAUAAAACUGAUAAAUCAGUUACCGUAGGGAUAACAGCGCAAUUAAAUUUUAAAGCUCUUAUUUAAAAAAUAGAUUACGACCUCGAUGUUGAAUUAAUUACCUAUUUUAAGCAAAUUUUAAAAAAGAAAGUCUGUUCGACUUUUAAUAAAUUACAUGAUUUGAGUUCAGACCGGKGUAAGCCAGGUCGGUUUCAAUCUUCUAAAAAGUUUUUAGUAGUACGAAAGGACCUUAAGAUAUAAUUAAAUUAAUUAAUUGGCAGAGAAAUGCAUUAGAAUUAGAAUCUAAAUAAACUUUU